GUCUAUGGCCAUGGUACCCUGAACAAGCCGGAUCCCAUCUGAUCUCGGAAGCUAAGCAGGGUCGGGCCUGUUUUAGUACUUGGAUGGGAGAUCACCUAGGGAGACCAGGUGCUGGAGGUG
ensembl:rRNA 5S_rRNA 5S ribosomal RNA